UAAAGGAAAUCAAUAAUGAUCUAGCUUGGGGCUUACUCUCCUUGAGCCAUUGAAUCCUCAUUUUGUCAAAAAACUUCUUGAUUUAAUCUCACUCCCCUUGCUUCCACAACCCGUGGAUGAUCUUAAUAAAGAUCUUCGGGUCUAUGUACAUCCCUUCCUCCUGCAUUGAACCAAAGAACUAUAGAGCAUGUUUCAUGCUCCCAACCCGACAGCACCUCGAAUCAAAGCAUUCCACAUAGCAAUAUACAGCUUGAUCCCCUCUGUACGGCAUACCUGACAUAGGAAACGAACAUAUGAAUAUGGUAUAAUGCAUAUUUUGGUAAAGAUCAAAAGCAUAUCAUGAGAAAUCGAUGAACUUGCAUUUGUUGGGCUCAUUAACACCAAUUAAACUAUUUGCUCAGCCCAAACCUAAGCCUGACCAGUGUAAAAGUUCAGCCACAGAAUUAUAUUUUGACCUAAAUGUAUUCUCUUACGGAUUAAGGGGCAUCCUUCCAUCUUAUUCAUCCUUCUUCCAACUCCAAAAUAAAAUAAAAAUCUAGAUGGUAUCUCUAUGGGAAGACACAACGUCUCACAUACCAAUGUAUAUGGCCUAAAUCUUCGAAAUUCAAACAAGGUAAAAUGUACCCUUUGUAAGCCACUGAACAUUUGUAAUUAAUGUGAGGCCCAGAUGUGCAGUUCCUUACUUUUUCUCAUGAUCACAGCACCUUAUCACAUAUAUACCUCUGCUGUACACCCGCGCCAACUGAAACUUGACAGUAGCAAUUUUUAAAAUGUUAGAGAAGUAAUCCAGAC
rnacentral:lncRNA from 1 species